UGGGGAAUAUUGCACAAUGGGGGAAACCCUGAUGCAGCGACGCCGCGUGAGCGAAGAAGGUUUUCGAAUCGUAAAGCUCUGUCCUAUGAGAAGAUAAUGACGGUAUCAUAGGAGGAAGCCCCGGCUAAAUACGUGCCAGCAGCCGCGGUAAUACGUAUGGGGCGAGCGUUGUCCGGAAUUAUUGGGCGUAAAGCGCGCGCAGGUGGUUUAGAAAGUCUGAUGUGAAAGCCCACGGCUCAACCGUGGAGGGUCAUUGGAAACUAAUAAACUUGAGUGCAGGAGAGAAAAGUGGAAUUCCUAGUGUAGCGGUGAAAUGCGUAGAGAUUAGGAGGAACACCGGUGGCGAAAGCGUCUUUUUGGCCUGCAACUGACACUGAGGCGCGAAAGCGUGGGGAGCAAACAGG
rnacentral:rRNA from 1 species